rnacentral:rRNA from 1 species
GACGAACGCUGGCGGCGUGCUUAACACAUGCAAGUCGAACGGUAAGGCCCUGCUUUUGUGGGGUGCUCGAGUGGCGAACGGGUGAGUAACACGUGAGUAACCUGCCCUUGACUUUGGGAUAACUUCAGGAAACUGGGGCUAAUACCGGAUAGGAGCUCCUGCUGCAUGGUGGGGGUUGGAAAGUUUCGGCGGUUGGGGAUGGACUCGCGGCUUAUCAGCUUGUUGGUGGGGUAGUGGCUUACCAAGGCUUUGACGGGUAGCCGGCCUGAGAGGGUGACCGGCCACAUUGGGACUGAGAUGCGGCCCAGACUCCUUCGGGAGGCAGCAGUGGGGGAUAUUGCACGAUGGGCGGAAGCCUUAUGCAGCAACGCCGCGUGCGGGAUGACGGCCUUCGGGUUGUAACCCGCUUUCGCCUGUGACGAAGCGUAAGUGACGGUAAUGGGUAAAGAAGCACCGGCUAACUACGUG